CACAUUAUGACACAAUUUAAAAGAAAUUUUUCCAUCAAAUUUUUGGGGCUCCCAACACUUUAGAGGGGCUUUAAGUUUUACUGUCUUUGAGAACUUACCAAUGAAGGUAAAAAUGUUUGCUUGUGAUAACCAAUAUUUUCCCUGCCUAUUUUACCUUUUGCCAUGCAGCAAUAGGCAUUCCACAUUUUACCAUCGUUGCUACUAUCAAUUUUUCAUCAAUUUUAAGUGUAAAUAUAGAUAACUUUUGUGAAUUGAUCACCUUCAUCAUUUCUUUCAUCUAGAAAUGGGUAUCUUUUAAAAUUCAAACCUCACAGCAGUUUGUUUCAAUUAUAUGACCAAUCCCAGCAAUCUAUGAAUGUUACACCAUUUCUGUUCUGCAGAACCUUCUAUGUACAAUAUGUGGAGUUUUAUUCAUCAAUGUCUUUUUUUAAGCAGGGUAUUUAGAGGUAUUACGGAGGUGUGUGUGUGUAAGGAAUUUGGUGUAGUAUUCAGACUGAAUUGUGUUUAGUUUUGAAUUCUGAGUGAUUAUGCUGUUAUGAUUCUCUUGACAGUUUCUUAAACUUAGAUCCAGUUAAAGAAACUGAUAUUGUGUGGCUGUUUCCAUCUGAACUAAAGAAUUAACAAUUUUAGUGAUUGGAAUCCUUCUAAAAUUUUGAAGAAUGAAUUUGGUGCAAUCAAUUUCUGAUUCUGAUCAGAAAUCGUCAAAAUGUCCAAUGCUAUAACGUUAGUAAAAGGAAGCUAAACGAUGAUGAUCCAUGUAUGAUUUCAUUUAGCAAUCCUUGCUUGAAAGUUUACAUAAUUUACAGUAAACUAUGUGCGUGAAUAGUCUUUCGUAAUACAUAAAAAGGUGUUCAGUGAUUGGACUCCAUUUAGAAUCUUGAACCAUAAAUUUUGUGCAAUCAUUUUUUGAUCCUGAUCAGAAACGUCCAAACUUAUAAUCCUAUAAUGUUGGAUAAAGAUAAAUGGACGCUAAAAUAUAAUGUUGAUGAAGCAAUGUAUGAUUUCAUUUAGCAAUCUUUGAAAGCUUGAAAGUUUACAUAACCUGUAGUGAACUGUGCAUCUGAAUAGUCUGGUACCGGUACAUGAAAAGGAGAAAGGAGAAGUGUCAUUAAUAAUAAUAAUUAUGUUAUAAAUGGUUCGUUUUAUUGAAAAUCAUCUCACAGCCUGAAGGCUCAAUUGUGUGACUUUUUACAUUUGUAUAGCGCUUAAUACUACAUUUAUAAGAACUUUACAUUUGUAUUUAUUAUUACCUUGGUCAUUGAAUUCAGUUGGCUGACCCGCCCAUGAUAUUUCACAUGCUCUGCUUUCUGGGGAGUAUUCUGGCCAGGUGCCAUUUUACAAGUGCACUCAAGCCAAUCCAACAUAAAUGUUCACUUUCUACCAGGUACCCAUUGAACACCUGGGUGGAGAAUGGCAAAUGUAGAUUAAUGUCUUGCCAAAGCCAUGGGGGGACUCAAACCAUGAACCAUUAUGAUCCACACCAGUGGCGUAUCCACUAGACCAUGACACCUCUACUGAAUCAUGAAUAAUGGUUAUGAUAACUGAUAUAAUGCAUGUAUUGAAAAUUAUGAUGUGUUAAGAAGCUGGAAAUAUAGAUUAUGCCAGCAUUUUUCAACUCGGGUGCCGCAGGACAUCUCCAGGGGUGCCGCAAGAGAAAUUAAUUGAAGACAUAUUUUUUGAUCCAUUAUGAAAUAAAGGGUGAAUUUUGUAAAAACAAAAUGCUAGAAACCUCUGUUUUUUUCCCUGGAGAAAUAACAUUUGAAGAACAAUUAAGUUGCAAAACGGUAUGAUUUCUUGCAUCUAGGUGACCGAAGAUAUGACUACUAUACAGCAACUUACCUGUGUACAUAAUAUCAUAUCUUUUUCUAGUGUUAAAAAUUACAUGGUUUUUCGCUCGCUUGCUUCUCUCUCUCUCGGUGAGUAACAGAGUGAUACAAGAUUAAUCUUCUGUAAUUUCUUUCUCUAAAGGGUGCCGUGGCUAUAAAAACUGGUGAUAAGUGCAUUAUUCAUGUGCAUGCCCAUCUUUGUGCAUGUUUAUGUGUUUGGGGUUGAGGUGUGUAUAAGCAUGCUAAGUUGUCACAAUUAAUGCAGUUUUGAUUGAUAAUAUAAUUAAUUUGUAUAUUGAUGUUAGCCUGAGGCUAACUAUACUAUAUUUGCAAGUGCAAACAAAUCACUCACUUGGUUUUAAAUGAAGAUAAAUCAGUACUUCUAUCUACAAAUUAUACCAUAUAUAUCAAUCAUACAAAGAUAAUAUUAAUUAUGUCGGAAGUUGGAAAUUUGUGGAAGUCUUUAUUUUAUGAUGUUUAAGUUUAAUUUAUAUUUUAUAUUCUGCUUCCAAUUAAGUGUUAAGGAUCGAGGUAAGAUCUGAUGUUUUUUCACUUGGAAAAUUCCUUUUCCAUAGUAUAAUGUGACCUGCAUAGCUGAGUCAGGUGUUUAUUUCAGUUGUACACUAGAUUGCGUAAUGACAUUAGGCCAAGUGGCAGUGACAUUCCUUUUUUUUAUUGUAUGCAUGAAUUAGUCUGUAUGUUAACGUACGUACGUACGCGGUAUGGGCGAGUAGCUCUAUCUUGGGUGUGGUUAGCUCAGGCACCAAUUGAACAUCCAUAUGCAGGGACGUGUUCUAGGUCGGGCAAGACUUUGGUUUUGGAGAUCCUUCGGCUGGGAGGUAUGGGACUACAGCUGGUCCAGGCCUACAUGUAGGUGAUGACUGCAUUUCUGCUUGUAGCAGUGACGGGUAGUGAGUGACUGGAGUUUGCAGUUUGGUUGUCGCAGCUUGUUGCUUGACAUUUGUUUGAUAUGUUUAAUCAAACAGUGAUACUUUUGAUGUUUAUAAUGCAGUAUAGUAUAGUAAUAUUAAUGAGCUUUCUGAUUAAUGCUUUACCAUGUUUUGUAAAUGCUUUCAAAUAAUAUUAUAAAGGAUGAUUUAUUGAGGGAAUGAAUUGAUUCUUUAUCAGAGGGUUUGAUAAGAUAAUGCACUUUAUGGAGUUAAUUGUAAUUUUAUUGUCUUAUAUCUGGUUGAUGAUUAAGAUGCUUUGAUGAUUAAGAUGUUUUGAUAAUUAAGAUGCUUUGAAUAUUUAGAUAAACAUUAUCUGAAUAUGAGGAAUCUCUAAAUAAAGUACGAGACACACAUAUAUUGUUUGUAACAAUAUAUGAUUAUUCGAUGACUAGAAGUCUGAUUGGUUUUUAUACAAUACAUGCAUAUUGAAUAUGUAUGUGAACGAUGACAUUGAACUACUUGAAUCUGUAAUAUGGUACAAGUGAUUUAUCACUGGCUUUUUCUGUAUCUUUACAGGGUUUUUUGUUAACGACACAGAAUAAACUUCAAUGCCCUUA